rnacentral:rRNA from 1 species
ACUAGAGUAGCACUCGCAUAUCAAUAAGCGGAGGAAAAGAAACUAACAAGGAUUCCCCUAGUAACGGCGAGUGAAGCGGGAAGAGCUCAAAUUUGAAAUCUUAAAGGGUUUCCCUUUACGAAUUGUAGUUUAAAGAAGUGUUUUCUGUUGAGGUUUUGGUAAAAGUUCUUUGGAAUAGGACAUCAUAGAGGGUGAGGAUCCCGUAUUUGACCUUUACUUUCAACUUUGUGAUACACUUUCAGAGAGUCGGAUUGUUUGGGAAUGCAGUCCAAAAUGGGUGGUAAAUUUCAUCUAAAGCUAAAUAUUGGCGAGAGACCGAUAGCGAACAAGUACCGUGAGGGAAAGAUGAAAAGAACUUUGAAAAGAGAGUUAAACAGUACGUGAAAUUGUCAAAAGGGAAGCGUUUGACACCAGUGUUGUUUUUCUGAAAAUCAAUUAAAGAACUGUUUAUGCUAAGCUGUUUAGACUUUAUCAGCUAUCUGUUUAGUUUUGAGCUUUUCUUUAAUGCACUUUUCAGUUAACAAGUCAACAUCAAUUUCUUUUGCUGUAAAAAAGCUUGAGGAAGGUGGCUUGAGAUUCGUCUUAAGUGUUUAUAGCCUCUUGCCUAUGCAGUCGGAGAGAUUGAGGUCUGCAGCGUAGAUCCUUCGGGGCUGAAUGCAUUUGUGCUAAGUUAUAGCAUUUUAUAGACAACUUGUUGACUAUGAUUUGUCUUGUAGCUUACUCGCUUAUGUUAUUUUACCUACGCUUAGGAUGUUGAGCGCAUGUCUCUCUCU